UUACAAUGGAGAGUUUGAUCCUGGCUCAGGAUGAACGCUAGCGGCAGGCCUAAUACAUGCAAGUCGAACGAUACUUUCCAGCUUGCUGGAGAGGAAAGUGGCGCACGGGUGCGUAACGCGUAUGCAACCUACCUUCAUCAGGGGGAUAGCCCGGAGAAAUCCGGAUUAAUACCGCAUAAAAUCACAGGAUGGCAUUAUCCAAUGAUCAAACAUUUAUGGGAUGGAGAUGGGCAUGCGUGUCAUUAGCUGGUUGGCGGGGUAACGGCCCACCAAGGCGACGAUGACUAGGGGAUCUGAGAGGAUGGCCCCCCACACUGGUACUGAGACACGGACCAGACUCCUACGGGAGGCAGCAGUAAGGAAUAUUGGUCAAUGGAGGCAACUCUGAACCAGCCAUGCCGCGUGCAGGAAGACUGCCCUAUGGGUUGUAAACUGCUUUUAUCCGGGAAUAAACCUAAAUACGUGUAUUUAGCUGAAUGUACCGGAAGAAUAAGGAUCGGCUAACUCCGUGCCAGCAGCCGCGGUAAUACGGAGGAUCCAAGCGUUAUCCGGAUUUAUUGGGUUUAAAGGGUGCGUAGGCGGCCUGUUAAGUCAGGGGUGAAAGACGGUAGCUCAACUAUCGCAGUGCCCUUGAUACUGAUGGGCUUGAAUGGACUAGAGGUAGGCGGAAUGAGACAAGUAGCGGUGAAAUGCAUAGAUAUGUCUCAGAACACCGAUUGCGAAGGCAGCUUACUAUGGUCUUAUUGACGCUGAGGCACGAAAGCGUGGGGAUCAAACAGGAUUAGAUACCCUGGUAGUCCACGCCCUAAACGAUGAACACUCGCUGUUGGCGAUACACAGUCAGCGGCUAAGCGAAAGCGUUAAGUGUUCCACCUGGGGAGUACGCCCGCAAGGGUGAAACUCAAAGGAAUUGACGGGGGCCCGCACAAGCGGAGGAGCAUGUGGUUUAAUUCGAUGAUACGCGAGGAACCUUACCCGGGCUUGAAAGUUAGUGAAUGAUUUAGAGAUAGAUCAGUCCGCAAGGACACGAAACUAGGUGCUGCAUGGCUGUCGUCAGCUCGUGCCGUGAGGUGUUGGGUUAAGUCCCGCAACGAGCGCAACCCCUAUGUUUAGUUGCCAGCAUGUAAUGGUGGGGACUCUAAACAGACUGCCUGUGCAAACAGAGAGGAAGGAGGGGACGACGUCAAGUCAUCAUGGCCCUUACGUCCGGGGCUACACACGUGCUACAAUGGACGGUACAGAGGGCAGCUACAUAGCAAUAUGAUGCGAAUCUCACAAAGCCGUUCACAGUUCGGAUUGGGGUCUGCAACUCGACCCCAUGAAGUUGGAUUCGCUAGUAAUCGCGUAUCAGCAAUGACGCGGUGAAUACGUUCCCGGGCCUUGUACACACCGCCCGUCAAGCCAUGGAAGCUGGGGGUACCUAAAGUAUGUAACCGCAAGGAGCGUCCUAGGGUAAAACCGGUAACUGGGGCUAAGUCGUAACAAGGUAGCCGUACCGGAAGGUGCGGCUGGAAUACCUCCUUUCU
rnacentral:rRNA from 1 species